AUUGAACGCUGGCGGCAGGCCUAACACAUGCAAGUCGAGCGAGCGGCGGACGGGUGAGCAAUGUAUGGGGAUCUUCCCGAUAGAGGGGGAUAAAGCAUGGAAACUGUGGCUAAUACCGCAUACUAUCGGAUGAACCCAUAUGGGAUUAGCUAGUAGUUGGGGUAAAGGCUCACCUAGGCCCCGAUCUCUAGCUGGUCUGAGAGGAUGAUCAGCCACACUGGGACGGAGACACGGCCCAGACUCCUACGGGAGGCAGCAGUGGGGAAUAUUGCCCAAUGGGCGCAAGCCUGAUGCAGCCAUGCCGCGUGUAUGAAGAAGGCCUUCGGGUUGUAAAGUUCUUUCGGUAGCGAGGCGUUAACUACAGAAGAAGCACCGGCUAACUCCGUGCCAGCAGCCGCGGUAAUUC
rnacentral:rRNA from 1 species